rnacentral:tRNA from 1 species
GGGCCUGUAGCCUAGCCUGGAUAGGGCGCCAGCCUUCUAAGCUGGAUACCGUGGGUUCGAAUCCCUCCUGGCCCG